rfam:Lingula anatina scaffold18, whole genome shotgun sequence.
UGCAAGUGAUGUUUUUAAUCACGAUGGUCUUCAUAAUAUCACUGAUGAAAAUGCCUGAUGGCAUGUUGCUGAUGCAGUAAA